CGGGUAUCCACACCAGACUCUGAUCUGAUUAGAAGCUUUUUGUUCUCACUAGGGUACUAGCUCUCUUGCAGAGAUCGCAUCUUGAUAGUUAAAAAUCUUCUUUUCUCCUAAGACACUCUUAGAGAACAAGAAGAUGUAGGAGGAUCUUGAUCUCUACGCUAGAGAUCAUGAGAAGAACCCUUUCUUCUCUUUGCUUCCUAAAAUUCAUGCACCAAAUCUCUAUAAUAGAGAUGUCAGAAUUUUGUUUAACUUUUGGAUAAAGGGAAGAGGAGACAUCCA
rnacentral:lncRNA from 1 species